AAAACAAGUCCUGCAAAGAACUUGUGAACUCUCUUACCCCUGAGACUUGGAGGCUUGGAUAGACGGAGACAGCACUUUCUGGUUUGAGUGGACUCAUAUCUGGGCUUCUUUUAGUGAAAUGGAUGAGUCAGUAGCAGAGCCUGCCGUUGGAGGGAAAACAAGACACGGUUAACCCUCGGUGAUUCCAGGCAGGAGGUCAAUAAGAAGACACCAGCAAAGACACACAGGAGGACGACAGCUACAGAAGGCGAGACUGGGCCCUUAAACUGUAUAAUGUGUUGCAAACAAACUCUUUUCCAAGAGGGAGGGCCGAAGAGGGUCCUUCUGAAGACGUAUGUAAAGACAAGAUGGUCUGAGAUAAUAGCUUGCCAUAUUUUCCUGGCUGGCCUAGAACUCGCUAUGUGGACUGGACUAGCCUCAAUCUCACAGGGAUCUGCCUGCUUCCACGUCCCAUUGGAAUGAGUUCCGGAACUAAAGGUGGCAGCAGAGACUGGAGGAGGAGGAUGUUGGAUCUCCUGGAGAUGGAAUUGUAGACAGUUGCUUGUGAGCCACCUGAUGAGGUGCAAGGAAGCAGAGGAGCAAGAACAGCAAAGAGCGGAGACGUGUGUGAUGCACAGGCUCCCUGACAUGUGUCUCCCAGGAAGAUGUGUGUGAC
rnacentral:lncRNA from 1 species